GUGACCUAACCCUAAUCCCCCUAAAGCUAAACCAGCCGCUGCAGACCCCUCCUAGUUCCCGCAUCUCUCUCACUAACACACACACAGUGGCACAAGACGAACUAAGAGAAAAGCAGAGAACGACCGUGACAUCGCCACUCUUUCUUCUUAUUCCCAUCACCAAGCUCACUGGAAACAUCAAACACGGCCACCCUCUUCAUCUCCAAGCCAUAACCGUCGUCGCAACUCCACCAAGGCUCAUCCCUUUCUACCGCCACUUCAAUCCAAACUCACACCAAAAUUUAGUGAAAACCAAAAUUGAAUUCCUUCCUAAUGAUGUUUAGCUGAAGUUUCUAAGUUGGGUUUGAUAUUUUCCAGUCAAAUAAGGGUUCGUUGAGUCUCCGAUUGCAGUCCAGUUCGCCAUUCCAUCGUCGUCCAAGGUUUCUGGUGUCAAACAUUUUAAGAUUCGAAAUUGCUUUGUCUUGAAAGACUAAAUGGUCACACGAGUCCAGUAGAAUUUGUAGCUUUUGACGCAGCAGAGAUCCUAGUGCUUGCUGGAUCUUCCUCAUGUAAUAAAGCUAUGGAAUUUGGAAGAGACAAAAGUAAGUUGAUGUUCCUUUUUACCUCUAUGUUUUGUACUAGCUUUACUCUUAAAACAUUGUAGUGAAUAUACUCUAAAUAUUUAUUUGAUGACUAUGGAUGUUGUAUAAAAAAAACUCUCAUCUCUCAUGAGAUCUCUUACACACAACAGAACGGAUGUUCUCACCUCUUUCAAUUCCAAUAGAACGCCCAAAGCAGCGAUCGCCUUUCUUCAACCUUCAGCAGCCGUAGACCUCCCCCCUUUCCAAAACCCAGCCAACGCCUAACAGACACGAAAAAGCUAAAAAAAAUAAAGACAGACAUAAGAAAAAGAGCUAUCCUAAUAUAGUAACAAAAAGAGAGGGCAUCAGCUGGACAAAAGAACUUUAGCUAAAAGAACGGUGAUGAUAUAAUUUUCGAAGAGAGCCGAAUCGAGUACUCAUCUCUCUUUCUAAUCUAAAAAAACGAAAAAAUAGAGAGAGGGUGAACAGGCAGAAACAAAGUGAGAAAUUCCGAUGACAACAGUCAUCCGCUUGAGUUAUCGCUGAAGAGUCAAGGUCCGUCCGAGGUUCGUUGAUUUCUGGCAAGCUUCGAAGUCGAAGUUCCGUUGGUCCUGGUCAUGUCCCCAUCCGAUUCUGGAGCUACAAAUCAACUAAGCUCAUAUUCAUUUCUGGAGGUUCAUUUCUCACUUUCAUGUAUUUAAUGGGUCAUAACUAAUCUUGUUUUACAUGUGUUUAUAUGGUGAUAUAAUUAUUAUGGUGCAUUUGUGAGUUAAUAUUUAGUUGUUUGAUUCUUUGAAUUUGAU
rnacentral:lncRNA from 1 species